CAGUACAGGUGCUGUGUCAACACAGGCAGGAGGGACAGUCUUCCAGUACAGGUGCUGUGUCAACACAGGCAGGAGGGACAGUCUUCCAGUACUGGUGCUGUGUCAACACAGGCAGGAGGGACAGUCUUCCAGUACAGGUGCUGUGUCAACACAGGCAGGAGGGACAGUCUUCCAGUACUGGUGCUAGGUCAACACAGGCAGGAGGGACAGUCUUCCAGUACUGGUGCUAGGUCAACACAGGCAGGAGGGACAGUCUUCCAGUACUGGUGCUAGGUCAACACAGGCAGGAGGGACAGUCUUCCAGUACUGGUGCUAGGUCAACACAGGCAGGAGGGACAGUCUUCCAGUACUGGUGCUAGGUCAACACAGGCAGGAGGGACAGUCUUCCAGUACUGGUGCUAGGUCAACACAGGCAGGAGGGACAGUCUUCCAGUACAGGUGCUGUGUCAACACAGGCAGGAGGGACAGUCUUCCAGUACAGGUGCUGUGUCAACACAGGCAGGAGGGACAGUCUUCCAGUUCAGGUGUUGUACCAAAACAGGCACGAAGGACCAGCUUCCAGUACAGAUGCUGUACCAAAACAGGCACGAAGGACAGUCUUCCAGUACAGGUGCUGUGUCAACACAGGCAGGAGGGACAGUCUUCCAGUACUGGUGCUGUGUCAACACAGGCAGGAGGGACAGUCUUCCAGUACAGGUGCU